rnacentral:tRNA from 1 species
GGGCUUGAGGCAUUUCUAGGCAACUCAUAAUCCUUUGGUCCACGGUUCGAGUCCGUGUGGGCCCACCA